UGGUGGAUGAGUGGCGAACGGGUGAGUAACACGUGAGUAACCUGCCCCUGAUUUCGGGAUAAGCCUGGGAAACCGGGUCUAAUACCGGAUACGACCACCCCUCGCAUGAUGGGUGGUGGAAAGUUUUUCGAUCGGGGAUGGGCUCGCGGCCUAUCAGCUUGUUGGUGGGGUAAUGGCCUACCAAGGCGACGACGGGUAGCCGGCCUGAGAGGGCGACCGGCCACACUGGGACUGAGACACGGCCCAGACUCCUACGGGAGGCAGCAGUGGGGAAUAUUGCACAAUGGGGGAAACCCUGAUGCAGCGACGCAGCGUGCGGGAUGACGGCCUUCGGGUUGUAAACCGCUUUCAGCAGGGAAGAAGCGAAAGUGACGGUACCUGCAGAAGAAGUACCGGCUAACUACGUGCCAGCAGCCGCGGUAAUACGUAGGGUACGAGCGUUGUCCGGAAUUAUUGGGCGUAAAGAGCUCGUAGGUGGUUGGUCACGUCUGCUGUGGAAACGCAACGCUUAACGUUGCGCGUGCAGUGGGUACGGGCUGACUAGAGUGCAGUAGGGGAGUCUGGAAUUCCUGGUGUAGCGGUGAAAUGCGCAGAUAUCAGGAGGAACACCGGUGGCGAAGGCGGGACUCUGGGCUGUAACUGACACUGAGGAGCGAAAGCAUGGGGAGCGAACAGGAUUAGAUACCCUGGUAGUCCAUGCCGUAAACGUUGGGCACUAGGUGUGGGGGACAUUCCACGUUCUCCGCGCCGUAGCUAACGCAUUAAGUGCCCCGCCUGGGGGAGUACGGUCGCAAGGCUAAACUCAAAAGGAAUUGACGGGGGCCCGCCACAAGCGGCGGGAGCAUG
rnacentral:rRNA from 1 species